rnacentral:rRNA from 1 species
ACGAACGCUGGCGGCGUGCUUAACACAUGCAAGUCGAACGGAAAGGCCCUGCUUUUGUGGGGUGCUCGAGUGGCGAACGGGUGAGUAACACGUGAGUAACCUGCCCUUGACUUUGGGAUAACUUCAGGAAACUGGGGCUAAUACCGGAUAGGAGCUCCUGCUGCAUGGUGGGGGUUGGAAAGUUUCGGCGGUUGGGGAUGGACUCGCGGCUUAUCAGCUUGUUGGUGGGGUAGUGGCUUACCAAGGUUUUGACGGGUAGCCGGCCUGAGAGGGUGACCGGCCACAUUGGGACUGAGAUACGGCCCAGACUCCUACGGGAGGCAGCAGUGGGGAAUAUUGCACAAUGGGCGGAAGCCUGAUGCAGCAACGCCGCGUGCGGGAUGAAGGCCUUCGGGUUGUAAACCGCUUUCGCCUGUGACGAAGCGUGAGUGACGGUAAUGGGUAAAGAAGCACCGGCUAACUACGUG